GCUUGUAGCAACGAACUUUUAAUUCGUAGAUUUACCUUUCUGGUUGUAAAUC
rnacentral:tRNA from 1 species